AUUGGUAUUUGUUCUUAAUCAUGUAAAAUUAUACGAUUUCGAUGUGAUUUUGACAUCUUGUUUUAUAUAAAAAUUUGGAUAGAUAAAAUUGAUAAAUAUAUUUCUAAUGUGAUUCUAGUUUCCUCGAUCGUUAAAAUGUCAACUCUAUUUGAAAAUCGUUAGAGAGCUGGAAAUACAAUGGAAUUCGUCGGUAAAAAUCAUCCAAGCAUAAAAGAAGCUUUUGAAAAGUUUUUCGAGAAGAAAACUGUAGCGGAGCAAUGCACCGAACAAUCUUUGGCGCAAUUACAUAACGCUUUUUUGGCAACAGAGAAUGGCGAAAUGAGCUGCUCUCAACUGUACGACGCUUUCCAAGAUAUCCUCGAGAUAGAAAUGCCGCAGGACGAAUUCCAAAUCCUCUUCAAGAAAAUUGAUGUGAAACUCGAUGGCAAAGUGACGUGGGACGAAUUCAUUUCCUACUUGCUGAUAGAAUUUCAACUCCAGAACAUCAGUCGAAAAUCACAGAUGGUGGAGAUGUCAUUGACGGCUUUACCGAAAUUAUUACGAACAUAUCAUCGUACUGCUGUUUGCAGAAUCACAUUCUGUCCGGAAGUUCUGUCGGACAGAAGCACGAGUUUCCAAAGAGGUUGUUACCUGACAGUUAGCAGAGAAGGAACGAUCAAUUACUGGUCGUUAGAUGUCGAGUACGAGCGCAGUGUGCAAUCCAAGAAUCCGUAUUUAAAGGUGCAAACUACCGCGAUAACCGAUAUGAUUGUGAUGCCGGACAUUCAGCUGGUAUGCACGAGCUCGACAGAGUGCGACUUGAGAUUCUACGACGUCGCAGCGAAGAAGUUUGAUUUUCGCGUAUUGAUAUCCAGUUUGGAAAACGCGGUCGUCUGUAUGCAUUACUACUUUAGCAAGAACGUAAACGAAGUUUCCUACAUCGUUCUGGGUGAUACCAGCGGCUCCGUUGUGGUCAUGGCCUUCAGUCCUGUGGACAGAGGUCCCUUCAAGCAACAUACAGAACGAGACACGACGGUUCUUCGUUACGACGAAGUGAUUAGGGGUGAGUUGCCGGGGUUGCACAUCAUGGAAUUUAAGAAUAUACAUACGAACUGGACGAGCCAAGUGGCUUACCAUGAAAGUCUGCGGGCAUUUAUCUCGAGCAGUCAAUGUGACGAUUGUUCGCUGUGUGUUUGUGACCUUACGGGCAUGUGGAAGCGGUAUCACUUCAAAGUGCUCAUGGGAAUAUCCUGCUUUGUGUUUUGCGAAGAGAGUCACACGUUGGUCACGGGUGGACCGGAUUGCGUAGUUCGCGUUUGGAACCCAUUCGUCCCCAAGAAAGCGAAAGCCGUUCUUUCGGGACAUCGUUCUACUAUCUGCGCAUUGGUCAUAGUGAACGCCGGCAAACGGCUUUACUCUCUAUCGAAGGACAGAUGCAUCAAAGUGUGGGACGUCCCGAGCCAUAACUGCAUCCAGACAUACAAUAAAUUACCAAGUGAACUGAGUGAGUAUGCUCCGAUGACGUUGGUUUUCAAUACGUUGACUCGUACGAUGAUUAUCGCCAGUGUAAUGAUCGCCAUUCUUGUCUGCGAGCCAGUAAUUAACGAGGAGACAUCGGACGGUCAUACGCACAGCAAAGGCGUCAGCUGCGUUCUCUACAAUCAACUUUACCGUGUGAUUGUCUCCACUGGAUUAGAUUCGCGCAUUAUCGUUUGGGAUCCCUGGUUAGGACGAUACUUGCGAAUGAUAACGAACGCUCAUAACGUUGUACGACACGGGCAAUUUAUCGAUAUUGAGAUCACGGCAGCGUGUUUCAACGAUACAGAACAGUUCUUGCUAACCGGUGCUAGAGACGGAUCGUUGAGGAUAUGGAACUUCAACACCGGCACUUGUAUACGCCACGUCGUGAUGGAUCAUCAAUGCGAAGUAACGAGCGUUACAUGGUACAAAAAUCGAAUUCUCUGCUGCGGCUGGAACAAGCAAGUUAUCGAAAUGGCAGCUACGGAGUCCGACGUGCGCAAAAAAUGGACGACUAGCCACAUCGACGACAUUCUAUGCUCGGCUGUGAAAUUUCCUCAUGUAUUAGCCACUGGAACAUAUAACGGUGAAUUGAUUCUGUGGAAGCUUGAAACGGGUCAACCUCUUAGAAAGUACCAUGUGAUUGAUGUUGGUAAAAGAUACAUUAAAACAACGGAGACGAAUACGCGUAACGAGUUUGGAAAGUCGAGCGAAUUCGACAGAUCUGUGGCAGAUCGGAAAUUUAAAGAACUGAUCCCAUGCGCUCAUCAAGAAUCAGCAUUGAACAUCAUUCGCGUGGUCGCAGUGCGCGCAAUGAUCUUCUUAGCCGCACGAGAAGUGGGACCGGAUGUCGGUACACUGCUGGUCGCGCUCGAUUCCGGACUGGUGCAGGUGUGGACGCAUCAUCCGGCUGCGGACUUCCUCGGUGCUUUCUCGAUCAUUCACACAGUGGGCGAUUGCGCCACGUCGUUGACCACCGAUCCUGAAAAUGAUUUCCUCGUUACAGGCCACAGCGUCGGAUACAUCAAGGUCUGGCUGCUCUCCAAUUAUAUGCGACCGAAUCCCCCAAAAGUAUGCAUGCCGCUGCUGAGGCUGCAAUUCCCGUUUUUGUGGAAGGACAAAAUAGACGGGAGAGCGAAGAGAGCGACCCGGGGUCAGGCACUUCCGCUUCUCCUGUCGUCCGUACGGGCUCACACGCGGGGAAUCACUUCCCUUCAGAUGAUUUCAAGCGCGCGAGUAAUAGUCAGUGGCAGCGCGGAUUGCACGGUGCGUUUGUGGAGCUACGACGGCCGUUACAUAUCGACGCUCGGCACGUUCAGAGACUGGAAUACGAUCUUGCCUACAGUACCCGUCAACAAGUACUUCGAAGACUAUAAACUUCCGCCGGACAUUAAAGGGAACGCCAGUAGCACCACUAUGAAAGUACUUUGCGGCGGCAUGAGACAGAUACAAGUCGAAACCGAGACAGAAGACAUCGAGGUUUUGAGAGAAAUUCUAGAAGAGGAGCGACAAUUGCUGUACGGCAAGGCGUUGGACCCUUUAAUUCUGGAGGUUUACUACGAAUCGCAAGCUCGUGGUAAAACGUACAGAGAAUAUCUCAAAUUGGAUAAUACUUUACCUUAUAUACCGGUUUAUACGCAUUUAUCGACUUAUCCUUUAACAUCUAUGGAGGCGCAAAGAACAUUCUUGCUCGGACAGAAAAUGGAUUUUACGUAUUGAUUUUUAUUCUGAAUCACUGGAAGGAUGUCGUACAAGACGUUCUAAUACAUUACGAAAGCGAGAAGAGGAGGAAUUGAAGAAAAAGUUAGCCAGAGAAACUAAGGAGAAGCAGGAAUUAGAGAAACGGCAAAAGGCAAAGAAAGAAAGAGAAGAGAAGGCGAAGCUGGCUCAACUGAUGCAGGAGAAGCAGCGCGAGGAAAUGGAGAAGAAGCGUCUGGCACAGUUGCAGCGCAGGAGAAGGAGGAACGUUGAAAAUUAGAAGAGUAUCAGAGAUUACUGUUAGAGCAAGAGGAGGCGGAACGUUUGCUCGCCGAGCAAAAGCGUCGAGAAUAGGAGGCCGCGAGACAUAAAAAAUGGAAGUGAGAGCCCAGCAACAGACUGAAGCGAUAAGACUAAAGAAUAUGACGCAAACGGCUCAAGUUAACGGCGGCGUUUUCUAGAUUGUACUGAAGGUACGCUUCAAUAGACUUCGAUUUAUAUCUUGAAAUAGCUAGGUCAAAUCCGGCAUGCGAAUGUCGAAGAAUUUAUACAUUAUUUCAUUGAGAAUGUGCGUUGCCAGUUGCAACUUACGUUCAUGUGCUGAAAAAUUUCAAGUGAUUUAACGAUUUCUCAAAUGUACAAUUAUAUUACAAUAUUCUACUAUAUGUAUACUUUCUUUUGAGAAACAUUUGAAAAUAAAGAUUUAAAAUUAUAUGUCAA